UGCUCAUUCUCAUGCUCUAUCCUGCUGCUCUGUGAAGAGGUGCCUUCUGCCAUGACUGUAAUUUUCCUGAGGCUUCCCCAGCCAUGUGGAACUGUGAGUCAAUUAAACCUCUUUCUUUUUUUUUUUUUUUUAAUAAAUUACUUAGUCUUGAGUAUUUCUUCAAAGCAGCAUGAGAACAGACUAAUACAGUAAAUUGGUACUGAGGUGGUGGGGCACUGCUAUAAAGAUACUUGAAAAUGUGGAAGUGACUUUGGAACUGGCUAACAGGCAGUGUUGAAACAGUUUAGAGGGCUCAGAAGAAGACAGAAAAAUGUGAGAAAGCUUGGAACUUCCCAGAGACUUGGAGGGCUCAGAAGACAGAAAAGUGUGGGAAAGUUUGGAACUUCCUAGAGACUUGUUGAACGGCUUUGACUAAAAUGCUGAUAGUGAUAUAGACAAUGAAGUCCAGGCUAAGGUGGUCUCAGAUGGACCUGAGGAACUUAUCGGGAACUGAAGUAAAGAUCACUCUUGCUGCGCUUUAGCCAAAAGACUGGAGACUUUUUGCCCCUGCCCUAGAGAUCUGUAGAACUUUAAACUUGAGAGAGAUCAUUUAGGGUAUCUGGAGGAAGAAAUUUCUAAGCAGCAAAGCAUUCAAGAGGAAGCAGAGUAUAAAAGUUUGGAAAAUUUGCAGCCUGACGAUGAGACAGAAAAGAAAAGCCCAUUUUCUGGAGAGAAAUUCAAGCCAGCUGCAGAAAUUUGCAUAAGUAAUGAGGAGCCAAAUGUUAAUCACCAAGACAAUGGGGAAAACAUCAGGAGGGCAUGUCAGAGACUUUCAUAGCAGCCCCUCCUAUCACAAGCCUGGAGCCCUAGGAGGGAAAAAUGGUUUGGCGAGCUUGGCCCAGGGUCCCCCUGCUCUGUGCAGCCUCAGGACAUGGUGCCCUGGAUCCCAGCUGCUUCAGCUCCAGACAUGGCUAAAAGGGGUCAACAUACAGCUCAGACCAUGGCUUCAGAGGGUGCAAGCCCCAAGCCUUGGUGGCUUACACAUGGUGUUGGGACUGCAGGUGUGCAGAAGUCAAGAAUUGAGAUAAUGAAAGGUGGCUUGUAAAGGGCAGAAGAUAAAAUGGAAC
rnacentral:lncRNA from 1 species